AUAUCUCUUCUCGUUCCCUUGUUUCAUAUCUCUGGUAGCAUCUAUCAUUCACUUCUAUUCUGGUUGUUGCUCUUGUACCAUAUCUCUUCUACCAUCUCUGUCUUAGCAUCUGUGUUCUACCAUCAUUAAAUAAUAAUCCAUAUGGUGGUGCUCCCGGUUACUUUAGCCUUAAUAACUUUCCUUAUGAUAGCUUUUCCCAAAAUCUCAACUUUGGAUCUCCACAAGGCACCCAAAACCCUUC
rnacentral:lncRNA from 1 species